rnacentral:rRNA from 1 species
CUACGGGCCGCAGCAGUGAGGAAUAUUGCACAAUGGAGGAAACUCUGAUGCAGCAACGCCGCGUGGAGGAUGACGCAUUUCGGUGUGUAAACUCCUUUUAUAUGUCAAGAAAAUGACGGUAGCAUAUGAAUAAGCUCCGGCUAACUCCGUGCCAGCAGCCGCGGUAAUACGGAGGGAGCAAGCGUUACUCGGAAUCACUGGGCGUAAAGGACGCGUAGGCGGGAUAGAAAGUCAGGUGUGAAAUCCUAUGGCUCAACCAUAGAACGGCACUUGAAACUUCUAACCUAGAGUAUGGGAGGGGAAGAUGGAAUUAGUGGUGUAGGGGUAAAAUCCGUAGAUAUCACUAGGAAUACCAAGAGCGAAGGCGAUCUUCUGGAACAAUACUGACGCUAAGGCGUGAAAGCGUGGGGAGCAAACAGGAUUAGAUACCCCAGUAGUC